UACGUAGGGGGCUAGCGUUGUCCGGAUUUAUUGGGCGUAAAGAGCGUGUAGGCGGCCAGGUAGGUCUGCUGUGAAAACUCGAGGCUUAACCUCGAGAUGUCGGCGGAAACCAUCUGGCUAGAGUCCGGAAGAGGAGAGUGGAAUUCCUGGUGUAGCGGUGAAAUGCGCAGAUAUCAGGAAGAACACCCGUGGCGAAGGCGGCGUUCUGGACUGCAACUGACACUGAGGAACGAAAGCCAGGGGAGCAAACGGG
rnacentral:rRNA from 1 species